rnacentral:misc_RNA from 1 species
CCGAGUACGGGUCCCUAUCCCCUUCCCGGGGGGUGGGGGCCCAGACCUCCCACCCUUGUCGAAGGUACCGUGUUGCUUCGGCGGGCCCGCCCUGGUUGGCCGCCGGGGGGUUCGCGAACGCUGCCCCCGGGCCCGUGCCCGCCGGAGACUCCCUCCAAACACUUACUGUGGUCAGGAAUACGGUCUGAGUGGUUACGAAAUGGAUCAGAACA